rnacentral:rRNA from 1 species
UGGGGAAUUUUGGACAAUGGGGGAAACCCUGAUCCAGCCAUCCCGCGUGUGCGAUGAAGGCCUUCGGGUUGUAAAGCACUUUUGGCAGGAAAGAAACGUCAUGGGUCAUUACCCCGUGAAACUGACGGUACCUGCAGAAUAAGCACCGGCUAACUACGUGCCAGCAGCCGCGGUAAUACGUAGGGUGCAAGCGUUAAUCGGAAUUACUGGGCGUAAAGCGUGCGCAGGCGGUUCGGAAAGAAAGAUGUGAAAUCCCAGAGCUCAACUUUGGAACUGCAUUUUUAACUGCCGGGCUAGAGGAUGUCAGAGGGAGGUGGAAUUGCGCGUGUAGCAGUGAAAUGCGUAGAUAUGCGGAGGAAAACCGAUGGCGAAGGCAGCAUCCUGGGAUAACACUGACGAUCAUGCACGAAAGCGUGGGGAGCAAACAGG